AACAUGAGGAAGUGCAAUACACCAAAGCCAGGAUCCCAGGCUGCAAAGUCAGAGAAAAAUUCCAAACAAAAAAUGCCUGACGGAAGCUGGAAGUGCGAGAAAUGCAACAACAUAAACUAUCCAUUUAGGACCAAGUGCAAUAGACAGAAUUGUGGGGCUGAGAAACCUGCUGAAUCAAAGAAGUCCCCUUCACCAGCGGCAGAUGAGAAUGAUCAGUGAGUUCUAGGACAUGUUUGAGGUUUGAGAAGGUCCAGAGUUGUCGUCCAGCAUUGCUCAAUAUGGGUGUCUGAAAGUCAGUUGUGUCGUCCUCAUGUUGCAGCGGUUGUCAAGUUACUCUACCUUAUCAUGAUGUCUGUCAAGUUGUUGUAUUACUUGAAAUGAUACUUAUGGUCUUUAUGGAUCCUUUGAUGCAUCAUGUGUCUGCCAGUUUGAUCUGGCAAAGAUUCUACAGGUUGGUUCUGGUUUCCUUAUUAGUUAGGCUUUUGUAAUUUUUGGCAUCAACUCAUCUAUUCCAGUGGGUAUGCUACCAUGAAC
rnacentral:misc_RNA from 1 species